rnacentral:tRNA from 1 species
GGAGAUGUGGCUUAAGUGGUAGAGUGCCAGCCUUAAGGGGAAAAACUAAGCAAGAGCUGAUGGCCCUAAGUUCAAAUCCUAGUACUACCC